rnacentral:rRNA from 1 species
UACAGAGGUCUCAAGCGUUGUUCGGAUUCAUUGGGCGUAAAGGGUGCGUAGGCGGCGCGGUAAGUCGGGGGUGAAAUCCUGAGGCUCAACCUCAGAACUGCCUUCGAUACUGGCAAUCUCGAGUCCGGAAGAGGUUGGUGGAACAGCUAGUGUAGAGGUGAAAUUCGUAGAUAUUAGCUAGAACACCAGUGGCGAAGGCGGCCAACUGGUCCGGUACUGACGCUGAGGUGCGAAAGCGUGGGGAGCAAACGGG